GGUAAGGCCAAAUUUUGAUGAAUAAUAUUUAAUAUUUUUGGAAAAGUUAACUGUGUAAGUUGUUAGAUUUGAUGGACUUGCAAUUUAGCACUUGCUCUACACAUGCCUUGCAAGACCAUUUGGGUUCAGUCCACUGCCAAUUAGGGUAAAGAUGUAAUAGAAUUCUUGUGUGUAGGACUGGCAUUGACAUUUUUACAGUUCUAUUGCCUUGGAAGCUGUAUCAUUUUGACACAGUUAGGAAAACUCAACAGUUUAAUUAGUCCAAUCGGCAACUUAACUCUUCAAAUGGUUUUAAAUCAUGGUCACAAAUGGCUUGGCGCUAUGCAAAUUUUUUUGAA
rnacentral:misc_RNA from 1 species